rnacentral:rRNA from 1 species
CCUACGGGCGGCAGCAGUGGGGAAUAUUGGACAAUGGGGGGAACCCUGAUCCAGCCAUGCCGCGUGUGUGAAGAAGGCCCUCGGGUUGUAAAGCACUUUCAGUGAGGAAGAACGCCUGGUGGUUAAUACCCAUCAGGAAAGACAUCACUCACAGAAGAAGCACCGGCUAACUCCGUGCCAGCAGCCGCGGUAAUACGGAGGGUGCGAGCGUUAAUCGGAAUUACUGGGCGUAUAGCGCGCGUAGGUGGCUUGAUAAGCCGGUUGUGAAAGCCCCGGGCUCAACCUGGGAACGGCAUCCGGAACUGUCCAGCUAGAGUGCAGGAGAGGAAGGUAGAAUUCCCGGUGUAGCGGUGAAAUGCGUAGAGAUCGGGAGGAAUACCAGUGGCGAAGGCGGCCUUCUGGACUGACACUGACACUGAGGUGCGAAAGCGUGGGUAGCAAACAGGAUUAGAUACCCUGGUAGUC